GCAACUUUUAGGAACAGGGGAGUAACUUUUUUUUAACAUCCACUGGUGCACGACUAAGACCUUGCUUAAUUACAACGAAGGACAUGGAAAUGUCAGCUCCCUUGAUAAUAUGCCAUCUACGCACUGCUAUAAAAAAACAAUUAACAUUAUUAGUUAUUAAUCUAAACCAAGUCCUCCUCGCUCUAAAUCGGCUCAAACUCGGCUCAGUUCAAUAAUCCAUCCAGUAUUUCUUGAACCACGUACACCUCACUCACAAUUUUAUGGCUGUAGAACAUGCACAUUGAACGCCAA
rnacentral:lncRNA from 1 species